UCAAAAACAUGUCCUAUUGAUUAUAAUUUUAGGUUUGACCUGCCCCCUGAAUUUUAAAUGGCCGCAGUAUUUUGACUGUGCUAAGGUAGCAUAAUCAUUAGUUUCUUAAUUAGAAGCUGGUAUGAAUGGUUUUAUGAAAAAAAAUCUGUCUCUAUUUAAAAAUAUUAUAAUUUUAUUUUUUAGUAAAAAAGCUAAAAUAAAUUUAAAAGACGAGAAGACCCUAUAGAGUUUUAUAGUAUGAAUAAUUUAAUAUUUAUAGGAAUUUUAAAUUUUUAAUUUAUUUUAUUAUUUAAUUGGGGUGAUUGAAAAAUUAAAUAAACUUUUUUUGUUAAAUUACAUUAAUUUAUGAAAUAAUGAUCCAUUUUUUAUGAUUAAAAGUUUAAAUUACCUUAGGGAUAACAGCGUAAUUUUUUCAAAGAGUUCUUAUCGAAGAAAAAGAUUGCGACCUCGAUGUUGGAUUAAAAUUUACUUUUGGUGUAGAAGCUAAGCUAAUAGUUAGGUCUGUUCGACCUUUAAAAUUUUACAUGAUCUGA
rnacentral:rRNA from 1 species